rnacentral:rRNA from 1 species
UACGUAGGGGGCAAGCGUUGUCCGGAUUUAUUGGGCGUAAAGAGCGUGUAGGCGGCCAGAUAGGUCCGUUGUGAAAACUCGAGGCUCAACCUCGAGACGCCGAUGGAAACCAUUUGGCUAGAGUCCGGAAGAGGAGAGUGGAAUUCCUGGUGUAGCGGUGAAAUGCGCAGAUAUCAGGAAGAACACCCGUGGCUAAGGCGGCUCUCUGGACGGAUACUGACGCUGAGACGCGACAGCGUGGGGAGCAAACAGG